rnacentral:lncRNA from 1 species
GGACAGUGAAAAUGGGGUCAAAACUCUUAUUUGGUGUUAAAAUCAAAAAGAUCCUAUCAUAGGGAACAUCUUUAAUACUAAAAUAAGGAGGUCCAAUUUGUCAGCCGUCAUGGGGUAAAAACGACAAAUCAAAGAAUUCAACUUUAUAUAUAGCUAAUAUAGGACAAUGGUGUAGAAUAAAAAUUACACCACUCCAGACGCUUUUGUUUUCCACAUAAUUAAUAUUGCCAAUAAUUAACAAGUUUUGGGUCGAAUCCGAUACCGAUACCAAUAGUAUAUUCACCUGUUACCUAUUACCUUAUCUGUAUGUUUCGCAUCUGACAGGCACACCACCAAACGGUGUAUUUAGGAUUUUGCUAUAUACACAGGUCAUAAUCACAGGGUUGACACUACUAAAUUCAAUCAUUGUCAAAUUGUUCCCUAUUGUAGUAUUUUAAUCAG